UACGUAGGGUGCAAGCGUUAAUCGGAAUUACUGGGCGUAAAGCGUGCGCAGGCGGUUUUGUAAGUUUGUCGUGAAAUCCCCCGGGCUCAACCUGGGAAUGGCGAUGAAGACUGCAAGGCUAGAAUCUGGCAGAGGGGGGUAGAAUUCCACGUGUAGCAGUGAAAUGCGUAGAGAUGUGGAGGAACACCGAUGGCGAAGGCAGCCCCCUGGGUCAAGAUUGACGCUCAUGCACGA
rnacentral:rRNA from 1 species